ACGUAGGGUGCAAGCGUUAAUCGGAAUUACUGGGCGUAAAGCGUGCGCAGGCGGUUUUGUAAGUCAGAUGUGAAAUCCCCGGGCUUAACCUGGGAACUGCGUUUGAAACUACAAGGCUAGAGUGUGGCAGAGGGGGGUGGAAUUCCACGUGUAGCAGUGAAAUGCGUAGAUAUCUGGAGGAACACCGGUGGCGAAGGCGGCAUCCUGGACCAACACUGACGCUGAGGAGCGAAAGCCAGGGGAGCAAACGGGA
rnacentral:rRNA from 1 species